AUGGAUUGGUUCGUAGGAGUCCUCUCUCUCCUUUGCUGCUUCGUCUUGUACUACCGUCAUCUCCAGUCCAAGAAAACAUGCAAGGAGGAGCCGACCGAAUGGCCGCUACUGGGCCAUCUUUUCGGCAUGAUCGCUGACCUCAGGCGACCGGAUUACCACGACUGGGCCACCGUCGUCCUCGCCGGCACGCGCUACAACUUCCCAGCUCACGCGGGGCUUACCGGCGUCCGGUACUUCGUCACCUGCGACCCGUCCAAUGUGCGUCACAUCUUCACGUCCAACUUCCUCAACUACCCAAAGGGCGAGGAGUUCGGCCAGAUCUUCGACGUCCUGGGCAAUGGCAUCUUCAACGCCGACGGCGAGUCCUGGCAGCGGCAGCGUGCCAAGUCGCAGCUCCUCAUGGCCGGCCCCCGUUUCCGCGUCUUCUCGGCACGGUGCAGCCGCGACAAGGUCGAGAAGAGCCUCCUUCCUUUCCUCUCGCACGCUGCUGACAUCGGCGCCCGCUGUGACCUGCACGACGUGUUCCUGAGGCUGACAUUCGACAUGACCUGCAACCUUGUCUUCGGGGUGGACCCCGGCUGCUUGCAGAUCGGCCUCCCCGUUGUGCCCUUCGCGCGCGCCAUGGACGACGUCCUGGCGACGGUCAUCCUCCGACACAUCAUCCCACCGGCGUGCUGGAGGCUCAUGUACCGGUAUGAGCUCGGCCCAGAGAAGAAGAUGGCCGUGGCUCGUAGGACCAUAGACCAGUUCGCCGCGGACAUGAUCGCCAAACGCAAAUCCGAGCACAACCUCUGCGGCGAGAGCGUCAGCGAAUCCUCCGACAUGCUGUCGUCCUUUAUAAGCAACGGUGACGCGAGCGACGAGUUCUUGCGUGACACCGCAGUGAACCUCCUGCUCGCCGGCCGGGACACCACCGGUACGGCGCUGUCGUGGUUCUUCUACCUCCUAUGCAAGAAUCCACGCGUGGAGCAGAGGAUCCUGGACGAGCUGGCGCCGAUCGCGGCCACAAAGAUGCUGGCCACCGCCAACGACAUGGUGGUGUUCGACGUGGGCGAGCUGAGCAACAUAGUGUACCUGCACGCAGCACUGUGCGAGUGCCUGAGGCUUUACCCGCCCGUGCCCUUCCAGCACAAGGCCGCAGCGGCCGGUGACGUGCUCCCGAGCGGCCACGAGAUGAAGGCCGGCGACAAGAUACUUAUCUACUCCUACUCCAUGGGGAGGAUGGAGGGCGUGUGGGGCAUGGACUGCAUGGAGUUGAGGCCAGAGAGGUGGCUUGCCGACGACGGAAAACUGAGGUACGAACCGUCAUACAAGUUCAUGGCCUUCAACGCCGGUCCCAGGACCUGCCUCGGCAAGGAGGUGGCCUUCACGCAGAUGAAGGUCGUCGCAGCCGCCGUGCUGUGGAACUUCGCCGUUGAGGCCGUGCCGGGGCAUGUCGUGGAGCCGAAGCUGUCCAUCAUACUCCACAUGAAGAACGGGUUCGCCGUUGCGUUGAAGAGGAGGAACUUCCCCAGCGUGCACGGCUAG
rnacentral:rRNA from 1 species